rnacentral:rRNA from 1 species
CCAUCCUACGGGACGCAGCAGUGGGGAAUAUUGCACAAUGGGGGAAACCCUGAUGCAGCGACGCCGCGUGAGUGAAGAAGUAUUUCGGUAUGUAAAGCUCUAUCAGCAGGGAAGAAAAAAGACGGUACCUGACUAAGAAGCCCCGGCUAACUACGUGCCAGCAGCCGCGGCAAUACGUAGGGGGCAUGCGUUAUCCGGAUUUACUGGGUGUAAAGGGAGCGUAGACGGCGCGGCAAGUCUGAAGUGAAAGGCAGUGGCUUAACCACUGAAC